GAACGGUAACGCGGGCUUCGGUCUGGCGACGAGUGGCGAACGGGUGAGUAAUGCAUCGGAACGUAUCCAUUUGUGGGGGAUAACGCAGCGAAAGCUGUGCUAAUACCGCAUACGAUCUACGGAUGAAAGCGGGGGACCUUCGGGCCUCGCGCGAUUGGAGCGGCCGAUGUUAGAUUAGGUAGUUGGUGGGGUAAAAGCUCACCAAGCCGACGAUCUGUAGCUGGUCUGAGAGGACGACCAGCCACACUGGAACUGAGACACGGCCCAGACUCC
rnacentral:rRNA from 1 species